rnacentral:rRNA from 1 species
CAAAUGAAUUGACGGGACCGCACAAGCGGUGGAUGAUGUGGUUAAUUCGAUGCAACGCGAAAACCUUACCUACCCUUGACAUGUCCGGAAUCCCGAAGAGAUUUGGGAGUGCUCGCAAGAGAACCGGAACACAGGUGCUGCAUGGCUGUCGUCAGCUCGUGUCGUGAGAUGUUGGGUUAAGUCCCGCAACGAGCGCAACCCUUGUCAUUAGUUGCCAUCAUUUGGUUGGGCACUCUAAUGAGACUGCCGGUGACAAACCGGAGGAAGGUGGGGAUGACGUCAAGUCCUCAUGGCCCUUAUAGGUGGGGCUACACACGUCAUACAAUGGCCGGUACAGAGGGUAGCCAACCCGCGAGGGGGAGCCAAUCCCACAAAGCCGGUCGUAGUCCGGAUCGCAGUCUGCAACUCGACUGCGUGAAGUCGGAAUCGCUAGUAAUCGCGGAUCAGCAUGUCGCGGUGAAUACGUUCCCGGGCCUU